rnacentral:tRNA from 1 species
GCAGGUAUAGUUCAGUGGAAGAGUGGUUGCCUAGCAUGUUCCAGGCCCUAGGUUCAAUCCCUAGUCACCUUCC